CCGGGAUUGCCUUAGUAACGGCGAGUGAAGCGGCAAAAGCUCAAAUUUGAAAUCUGGCGUCUUCGACGUCCGAGUUGUAAUUUGAAGAAGGCGACUUUGUAGCUGGUCCUUGUCUAUGUUCCUUGGAACAGGACGUCAUAGAGGGUGAGAAUCCCGUGUGGCGAGGAUCCCAGUUAUUUGUAAAGUGCUUUCGACGAGUCGAGUUGUUUGGGAAUGCAGCUCUAAGUGGGUGGUAAAUUCCAUCUAAAGCUAAAUAUUGGCGAGAGACCGAUAGCGAACAAGUACAGUGAUGGAAAGAUGAAAAGAACUUUGAAAAGAGAGUGAAAAAGUACGUGAAAUUGUUGAAAGGGAAGGGCAUUUGAUCAGACAUGGCGUUUGCUUCGGCUUUCGCUGGGCCAGCAUCAGUUUUAGCGGUUGGAUAAAUCCUCGGGAAUGUGGCUCUGCUUCGGUAGAGUGUUAUAGCCCGUGGGAAUACAGCCAGCUGGGACUGAGGAUUGCGACUUUUGUCAAGGAUGCUGGCGUAAUGGUUAAAUGCCGCCCGUCUUGAAACACGGACCUCCUGUGUGAAGUGAU
rnacentral:rRNA from 1 species